UAUUAUCGAAUAAGAGUCGCCGACAACAAUGAGUCGAACGUAAAAACCUUUCUCGUUGUUAAGGAUAAUAUUCCCGUUGGUUCAAUACCAAGCUACUUUUUAAUCUAAUAUAAAAGGGGAAAAUUGAAAAAAAAGUGCCAGUAGCAGGUUUUAAACACUCGUUAUACUCAUAGUAUCCAAUUUUUAGUCUCUUGCCUUGAUAAUUUCCUAAAUAUCAACAACAAUAAACCCUUCCUACUGUUCAGUUGAAAAGUAAGUAAUAGGACGUCAGUGCAUAGAAAUUACUCUGGCAUGUCUGGCCCCCUGGAUCGUCUGAGCGGUGUCUAGCCAACAUCCCCUCCUCCCGUCUCGAUGAUGAGGCACCUUCUCUUUCUAUCCCGUCUGGCCGACGCGCCCGACCGACCGAACCGUUCAUCCACCCAUCCACCCACUCACCUCCAACCCUUAUUGGUCGUCCCCAUCGUGACAAGGGUGCAGUCUAGACCAGGCAACAGCUAUAUGACGCGUCGUAUAUGAUCACUACAAGUUUGGGCAUUUGAAUUUCCCGCUUUUACGGUAUCACCAUUGAAGAGCUGAUUGUCAAUAACUGAAUUUUCCCCAAUGUUUAGUUGAAAAUGCAGUUAUGGUGCCCAGAGGGUGAAAUUUGGGUUUCACCAAAAUAAAAAAAUUAUUUUGGCUGUAAUAAGAAAAGUUAAUUUGACCAUGUGAUCACUCUCGGGGAUGACUCUUAGUUAUUCUUCGCAAACUUUAUCUUUGGAUUGUCACAAGCAUUUAAUAUUAUUGGCAAUCUGCUAAAUGUCUGGUCUUCUCGGUAUCGAAAUAAUUUCCCGUUGGUUAUGAAGUGAAGCAGAGUUUCGACCACAUCUCCGGUUGACUUUCUACACUAGUUGCGGUGGUGGGAAUCUCUGAAGUCACGAACUACCUUAAAUAUCCUGAUUCGUGGUUUAUCGUGGUUGUGAUGUCCAUGGGGAUGUUCAGCCUUCACCGGAAAACCCGUUGAGCUUCCUGAGGCUCCUCUCAAGUCGCCCACAUUCGCAUAGUCAAGUUAACAUCCAAAUUCCUGGAUUUGUUAUAGCUCUACAAUUUUGAAAAAAAGAGGAGCUUUUGGAGGGUUCGCCUUUUACCACACGCAGUGCAGUUACUUGUCAGUUUGAGAAACAUUGUCUAGCAGUUGAUGCAUUUGACCAAACAGUGGGGGUUUUUUGAUUGAACAGGGCACUGACAAUGUGCUUCAGGGGCAAUUUGCCUUCGUAAUUGGAAUUUAUCUCUCUUCCAGUGGGAAAGUGUGUGAACAGGCCAAUAUUCGAUGUGUCACAGUGUGAACAGAGUAAUUACCACCAUCAAACUGAAAAAGGUGAUGCGUCUGGUUCGCGUCCGCCUGUCUGGCUGUCGGAGGGUCGAUGAACCCCCUCCCUUUUUGCCCCCAACACCCUUAAUUCCCUUAUAAAACAAGGCCGGAAGGGCCAGUUUCUUCGGGACUCAUAGGUAUGGUCCAUUCCUGCAAUGAUUUCUUUCCCAUUAUCUUCAAUUAUUU